UACGUAGGGUGCAAGCGUUAAUCGGAAUUACUGGGCGUAAAGCGCGCGUAGGUGGUUCGUUAAGUUGGAUGUGAAAGCCCCGGGCUCAACCUGGGAACUGCAUCCAAAACUGGCGAGCUAGAGUAUGGCAGAGGGUGGUGGAAUUUCCUGUGUAGCGGUGAAAUGCGUAGAUAUAGGAAGGAACACCAGUGGCGAAGGCGACCACCUGGGCUAAUAAUGAAACUGAGGUGAGCAAGCGUGGGGAGCACACAGGAGGAGAUAACCGUGUAGUCC
rnacentral:rRNA from 1 species